UUGAACGCUGGCGGCAUGCCUUACACAUGCAAGUCGAACGGUAGAGGGGCAACCCUUGAGAGUGGCGAACGGGUGAGUAAUGCAUCGGAACGUGCCCAGUCGUGGGGGAUAACGCAGCGAAAGCUGUGCUAAUACCGCAUGUGAUCUGUGGAUGAAAGCAGGGGACCGCAAGGCCUUAGUGCGAUUGGAGCGGCCGAUGUCAGAUUAGCUAGUUGGUAGGGUAAAAGCCUACCAAGGCGACGAUCUGUAGCUG
rnacentral:rRNA from 1 species